rnacentral:rRNA from 1 species
UACGGAGGGAGCUAGCGUUGUUCGGAAUUACUGGGCGUAAAGCGCGCGUAGGCGGCUUUGUAAGUUAGAGGUGAAAGCCCGGGGCUCAACCCCGGAACUGCCUUUAAGACUGCAUCGCUUGAAUCCAGGAGAGGUGAGUGGAAUUCCGAGUGUAGAGGUGAAAUUCGUAGAUAUUCGGAGGAACACCAGUGGCGAAGGCGGCUCACUGGCUCGGUACUGACGCUGAGGUGCGAAAGCGUGGGGAGCAAACAGG